rnacentral:tRNA from 1 species
GGCUCAGUGGUUAAAGCACUUGGCUGCUAACCAAAAGGUCAGUGGUUCGAACUCACCAGCCACU